GUGUAGACUAGACCGGGGAGCUAGGCGUUCCCUGUCACCAGAAAUCGCCGAUAUGCUGGAGUCGAACUUGCGAGGCGGUGUAACGAGUAUCUCGUGAUCCGUUUGUUGCCUAUGACACCUUGUCCUUUGGGAUCAGAGGUGAUAACCGUAUAUGACCGGAGGGUCAUGUGCCUAUCUUUGCUGUGGAAAUCGGGUGAGGCACGGAAGUGAGCAGCCUUACCACAGACUGCCGAUGCUCAGAGGGUUAACGGGGUUGAGAAUGCAGACGGGUAGUCACCUGUAUACCACGUGCACCCACUUAAAAGACGUCUACAC
rfam:Thermoplasmatales archaeon SM1-50 WOR1_30_36_31229, whole genome shotgun sequence.